CGGAUUUUUUUUCUUACUUACUUACAAUAAGUAAUUUGCUGUUAAAUUCAGCUGAGUCUGA
rnacentral:tRNA from 1 species